UAGAGUGUUUCAAGCAGACUUGUGUCUUGAAUACUUCAGCAUGGAAUAAUAAAGUAGGACUUUGGUUCUAUUUUGUUGGUUUGUGAACCUUAGUAAUGGUUAAUAGGAACGGUUG
rnacentral:rRNA from 1 species